UCCUCCAGACCCAUCCCGCCCGGCCCAGUGAGCUAAUCCGCAGCUGGCGGGCGCCCGGCCGGUUGCCACGGCAACCCCUCUCCCAGGGCCCGGCCCAGCGCUGAGCCGCGGUAAACAGGACCUUCUGCCGGACUCGCCCCCUCACCUCCCGGGGUGGGAGAGAGGUGGCUUAACCCUUCCAGGGAGGACGCCCGCCGCGCGCCGGCUCCUUUCCACCCAGGCCCGGCGGAUUCACGAGGUGCGCCCGGCCCGGGGUUGAGACCUGGACUGGGAGCAGCUGCCACACGCCCGGCCCCGCUCACUCCAGGCGGUGAACACCCUCUUGGCCCUGGGCCCGGGCCGGGGCACCCGGGACAGCGAGGCUGGCGCCGCCGUUGCCCCAGGCAGCUUGCCGUCGGGCCGGGGACACUGUCAAGGAACGCAGACUGCACGAUGCGGGGUGCCCAGCAGAAGUCCUGCGGGGAAGGCGCUCUGGAAUACGGGCUGGGGCAUUCGAGGAAGUUCCCUGGAACUUUGACCGGGCCAGGAAUGCUGAAGAGAUCUACAUAGAGCAUCAAGGUUGAAGAACAGGAGGAGGCAAUUUUUCUUCUUCCCCAUCAGUGCUCAUCUCCCUCUCUCUCCCCACCACUUACAGGCCCAGGACCCUCUACCAGCACCAGCACACACAGGCAACGGAGCUGGCUUUAUCUCAGCCGUUAGCCAAGAACAAAGGAGGACAGUCAGGCCAGUGAGUCCAACUCCUCUGCGUAGACUUCUGUGCACAGGAUGCAAGGCGCGUACCUCCUGCUUCUGAGAGCCUUCCUUGCCUAUUUUCUGGCCCAACGAGGCAGUAUCUUCAGACUCAGCAGAAGGAGUGAACACGGACACGGUGAGAAGGCGGCAGUUUGCAGACCAGAAGCAGGCCUUCACUAGAACUCAUCCAUGCUGCGCCUGGAUCCUUAUUUCCCAGCCUCCAGCACUGUGAGAAAUAAAGAUUUGCUGUUUCUAAG